UUUUCGCACGGAUUAAAAAACAUUCUUCUGCCUCUUCGAUACGGCUAGAGAGAGCUCCCUCAAACAAACGAAGAGAAGCACAUGCCAAGUCAAGAAAACGAAGCAAGGCGAAAACCAUUUUGCUUGUUCAUCAUCAUCCACCAUUUUUUCCGGUGAUUUCAGGUUUUCUUGAUCUAAUGUAUUAGACAAUUAUUGAGGUUGAAAAUUGGAUUAUUCCA